GGCGGCGUGCUUAACACAUGCAAGUCGAACGGAGGAUGUACGGUGAAGAGAUUUCGGUCAAAUCAUGUGCAUCUUUAGUGGCGGACGGGUGAGUAACGCGUGGGUAACCUGCCUUACACAGGGGGAUAACACUUAGAAAUAGGUGCUAAUACCGCAUGAGCGCACAGGACCGCAUGGUCGAGUGUGAAAAACUGAGGUGGUGUAAGAUGGACCCGCGUCUGAUUAGCUAGUUGGUGAGGUAACGGCCCACCAAGGCGACGAUCAGUAGCCGGCCUGAGAGGGUGGACGGCCACAUUGGGACUGAGACACGGCCCAAACUCCUACGGGAGGCAGCAGUGGGGGAUAUUGGACAAUGGGGGGAACCCUGAUCCAGCGACGCCGCGUGAGUGAAGAAGUAUCUCGGUAUGUAAAGCUCUAUCAGCAGGGAAGAAGAAAUGACGGUACCUGAGUAAGAAGCCCCGGCUAACUACGUGCCAGCAGCCGCGGUAAUACGUAGGGGGCAAGCGUUAUCCGGAAUUACUGGGUGUAAAGGGAGCGUAGACGGUGAUGUAAGUCUGGAGUGAAAAGCGGGGGGCCCAACCCCCGGACUGCUCUGGAAACUAUGUGACUGGAGUGCANGAAAGGUGAGCGGAAUUCCUAGUGUAGCGGUGAAAUGCGUANAUAUUANGAGGAACACCAGUGGGCGAAAGCGGCUCACUGGACUGUAACUGACGUUGAAGCUCGAAAGCGUGGGGAGCAAACAGGAUUAGAUACCCUGGUAGUCCACGCCGUA
rnacentral:rRNA from 1 species